rnacentral:rRNA from 1 species
GAGUUUGAUCCUGGCUCAAGACGAACGCUGGCGGCGCGCUUAACACAUGCAAGUCGAACGGGGCCCUUCGGGGUUCAGUGGCGAACGGGUGCGUAACACGUGAGUGACCUGCCCUGGCGCGGGGAUAACCCGGGAAACCCGGGCUAAUACCGCGAUACGUUCGUCCGGGCUGAUGGCCUGGGAGGAAAGGUGCUUUACGGCACUGUGCUAGGGGAGGGGCUCGCGGCGUAUCAGGUAGUUGGUGGGGUAACGGCUCGCCAAGCCGAUGACGCGUAGGGGUCUGAGAGGAUGGCCCCCACAUUGGGACUGAGAUACGGCCCAGACUCCUACGGGAGGCAGCAGUGGGGAAUCUUGCGCAAUGGCCGAAAGGCUGACGCAGCGACGCCGCGUGUGGGAGGACGCUUUUUCGGAGUGUAAACCGCUGUCGGGUGGGACGAAGGUCCCGGGCAGGAAAUGGGCCUGGGGAUGGACGGUACCACCAGAGGAAGCACCGGCUAACUUCGUGCCAGCAG